GACGAACGCUGGCGGCGUGCUUAACACAUGCAAGUCGAGCGGUAAGGCUCCUUCGGGAGUACACGAGCGGCGAACGGGUGAGUAACACGUGAGUAAUCUGCCCCUCACUUCGGGAUAAGCCUCGGAAACGAGGUCUAAUACCGGAUACGACCACUUCUCGCAUGGGAUGGUGGUGGAAAGUUUUUCGGUGGGGGAUGUGCUCGCGGCCUAUCAGCUUGUUGGUGGGGUAAUGGCCUACCAAGGCUUCGACGGGUAGCCGGCCUGAGAGGGUGACCGGCCACACUGGGACUGAGACACGGCCCAGACCCCUACGGGAGGCAGCAGUGGGGAAUAUUGGACAAUGGGCGAAAGCCUGAUCCAGCAACGCCGCGUGAGGGAUGACGGCCUUCGGGUUGUAAACCUCUUUCAGCGGGGACGAAGCGCAAGUGACGGUACCCGCAGAAGAAGCACCGGCCAACUACGUGCCAGCAGCCGCCGUAAGAC
rnacentral:rRNA from 1 species